UACGGAGGGUGCGAGCGUUGCUCGGAAUUACUGGGCGUAAAGCGCGCGCAGGCGGCGGUGUAAGCAUGGCGUGAAAGCCCCUGGCUUAACCAGGGAGGGUCGUCGUGGACUGCACCGCUUGAGGGCGGUAGGGGCUGGUGGAAUGCCUGGUGUAGUGGUGAAAUGCGUAGAGAUCAGGCGGAACACCCGUGGCGAAGGCGGCCAGCUUGGCCGUCCCUGACGCUGAGGCGCGAAGGCGUGGGGAGCGAACGGG
rnacentral:rRNA from 1 species